GCGCGGGGUUCGGCCGCUCCAAGUUCGGCGGUGCCGUGGCUCGGAGGCGCUUUGGAGGCGGUGAUGGCAUCGCUGGGCUCGGUUUGCAGCGGCUGUCCGCUAAGGGAUACGGUGUUCUUCCUGAGCGGCACGGUUCUCGGUGCCGGUAGGGAUGAUAAAGGGUACUCACAAAAUAUGUCUCCCUUAGUGUCCCACAGAAACAUUCUGGGUGAAAUCUGAAUUAAGUGCUGUGAGUCUUGAUAAAUUGGAGAAGUGCCCAAGAGAAAUUCAUCAUCCUGAGAUACA